AGUUUCCCUCUGCGUUCGCUGCGCGCUGCUGGAGGCUGUGGUCGCAAUGCUCCCCAAACGGCGGCGAGGGCGGAUCGAGUCCCCUAGCGGCGAUGCCGUUUCCUCCACGCCGCCCUCGACGCGCUUCCCCGGAGUCGCCAUCUACCUGGUCGAGCCUCGCAUGGGUCGCAGCCGCCGGGCCUUCCUCACACGCCUGGCGCGCUCCAAAGGCUUCCGCGUCCUUGACGCCUGCAGCUCCGAAGCAACACAUGUUGUGAUGGAAGAGACCUCAGCAGAGGAGGCCGUCAGCUGGCAGGAGCGCAGGAUGGCAGCUGCUCCCCCGGGUUGCACCCCCCCAGCUCUGCUGGACAUAAGCUGGUUAACAGAGAGCCUGGGAGCUGGGCAGCCUGUACCUGUGGAGUGCCGGCACCGCCUGGAGGUGGCUGGGCCAAGGAAGGGGCCUCUGAGCCCAGCAUGGAUGCCUGCCUAUGCCUGCCAGCGCCCCACGCCCCUCACGCACCACAACACUGGCCUCUCAGAGGCUCUAGAGACACUGGCCGAGGCAGCGGGCUUUGAAGGCAGUGAGGGCCGCCUCCUCACCUUCUGCAGAGCAGCCUCGGUGCUCAAGGCCCUUCCCAGCCCUGUCACAACCCUGAGCCAGCUGCAGGGGCUUCCCCACCUUGGAGAACACUCCUCUAGGGUUGUCCAGGAGCUGCUGGAGCAUGGAGUGUGUGAGGAGGUGGAGAGAGUUCGGCGCUCAGAGAGGUACCAGACCAUGAAGGUACACAGGGCGGGGCUCGGACCUGCCCCAGGAAUGUCCUGCCCUGGGAAUGACAACACAGUCCACACCAUGCACGGGGAGGCAAGCAGAGGCAGCUGACCCAGCCCAGGGGUCAGAGAAGGUCUUGCUGAGGAAGUGGCAGCUAAGCUGACACCUGAUAUGCACAAGGCAGCCAAGUGGAGACAGGCAAGGAAGAAGCUUGUUUUGAGGACAGAAUUUUCUAGAUCACUCAGCACCAUCUGGCUUUUGGGGGUUUUUGUUUUAUUUUGUUGAGACAGGGUUUUGCUCUGUUGCCCAGGCUAGAGUACAGUGGUGCGAUCACAGCUCACAGCAGCCUUGACUUCCUGGGCUCAAACCAUCCUCCCACCUCAGUCUCUGGAGUAGCU
rnacentral:sRNA from 1 species